GUUGCAAUGAACAUUGUGUUAACCUAGAAAGUAUGAAUAAGGUUGAGAUAUUUUACAAUGCUACACGCGUUGAAUUUAAGAGUAAGAUCAAAUAUCAGUAGUUUGUAGACGGGCUUGUAGCCAGGAUAAUAUUACAAGGUAGAACUAAAUGUACUGCGGCAAAUAUUACAUACAUAUAUGCAGGUAUAUAUUUUACAAUGAUACACGCUUUGAAUUUAAGAGUAAGAUCAAAUAUUAGUAGUUUAUAGCCAGCCUUGUA
rnacentral:lncRNA from 1 species